AAGCAGAACUGGCGAUGAGGGAUGAACCUAACGCUCGGUUAAGGUGCUAAACUGCUCGCUCAUCAGAUACCACAAAGGGUGUUGGUCGAUCUUAACAGCAGGACGGUGGUCAUGGAAGUCGAAAUCCGCUAAGGAGUGUGUAACAACUCACCUGCCGAAUCGACUAGCCCCGAAAAUGGAUAGCGCUGAAGCGAGUGACCGAUACCGGGCCAUUGUUGCAAGAUAAUUGGCAACAAUGAGUAGGAGGGCGUGGGGGUUGUGAAGAAGCUUGGACGUGAGUCUGAGUGAAACAGCUUCCAGUGCAGAUCUUGGUGGUAGUAGCAAGUAUUCAAUAAGAGAACAUUGAAGGCCGAAGUGGGGAAGGGUUCCAUGUGAACAGCACUUGGACAUGGGUUAGCCGAUCCUGAGAGACAGGUUAAAUUCCAUCGGAUUGGAGCUUUGGCUCUGUUUCUCGAAAGGGAAGCUGGUUAGUAUUCCAGCGCCGAGACGUGGAUAAUAUGUGGCAACACAAGUGAACUCGGACACGCCAUAGGGGACCCCAGGAAGCGUUGUCUUUUCUUUUUAACAGUUCGACUUACCCUGGAAUCAGAUCAUCUGGAGAUAGGGUUUUCGAACUGGAAUAGCACCUUGUCUAACAGGGUGUCUGGAGUGUUCUCGCUGGCCCUUGAAAAUCCGAGGGAUAGAUUUAUUCGCACUCUCGAUCGUACCCAUAACCGCAUCAGGUCUCCAAGGUUAGAAGCCUCUGGUCCGUAGGACAAAGUAGAUAAGGGAAGUCGGCAAAAUAGGUCCGUAACUUCGGGAAAAGGACUGGCUCUGAGGUUUGGUAUGUGGAACCUGGAUUAAUCGUUGGAGUCGAGCAGAGACUACUUGUUGCUCACGUGACUUGUGGACUCCUUGCUUGAUACCUUCAAUUGAUCCAGGCUGCUUCGGCGCUCUGCAUGCACUUAACAAACAGCUCAGAACUGGAGCGGACAAGGGGAAAUC
rnacentral:ncRNA from 1 species